GAUGAACGCUAGCAGGAGGCCUAACACAUGCAAGCCGAGCGGUAUUUGUUCUUCGGAACAGAGAGAGCGGCGCACGGGUGCGGAACACGUGUGCAACCUGCCUUUAUCUGGGGGAUAGCCUUUCGAAAGGAAGAUUAAUACCCCAUAAUAUAUUGAGUGGCAUCACUUGAUAUUGAAAACUCCGGUGGAUAGAGAUGGGCACGCGCAAGAUUAGAUAGUUGGUGAGGUAACGGCUCACCAAGUCAAUGAUCUUUAGGGGGCCUGAGAGGGUGAUCCCCCACACUGGUACUGAGACACGGACCAGACUCCUACGGGAGGCAGCAGUGAGGAAUAUUGGACAAUGGGUUAGCGCCUGAUCCAGCCAUCCCGCGUGAAGGACGACGGCCCUAUGGGUUGUAAACUUCUUUUGUAUAGGGAUAAACCUACUCUCGUGAGAGUAGCUGAAGGUACUAUACGAAUAAGCACCGGCUAACUCCGUG
rnacentral:rRNA from 1 species